rnacentral:tRNA from 1 species
GAGGGUAUGACCGGAGUUGGUCGAUCGGUCCGGCCUUUUAAGCCGGCUGCGCAAGCACGUCGUGAGUUCGAAUCUCACUGCCCUCACCA